rnacentral:rRNA from 1 species
GAUGAACGCUGGCGGCGUGCCUAAUACAUGCAAGUCGAGCGAACAGACGUGGAGCUUGCUCCUCUGACGUUAGCGGCGGACGGGUGAGUAACACGUGGAUAACCUACCUAUAAGACUGGGAUAACUUCGGGAAACCGGAGCUAAUACCGGAUAAUAUAUUGAACCGCAUGGUUCAAUAGUGAAAGACGGUUUUGCUGUCACUUAUAGAUGGAUCCGCGCCGCAUUAGCUAGUUGGUAAGGUAACGGCUUACCAAGGCAACGAUGCGUAGCCGACCUGAGAGGGUGAUCGGCCACACUGGAACUGAGACACGGUCCAGACUCCUACGGGAGGCAGCAGUAGGGAAUCUUCCGCAAUGGGCGAAAGCCUGACGGAGCAACGCCGCGUGAGUGAUGAAGGUCUUCGGAUCGUAAAACUCUGUUAUUAGGGAAGAACAAAUGUGUAAGUAACUAUGCACGUCUUGACGGUCCCUAAUCAGAAAGCCACGGCUAACUACGUG